rnacentral:rRNA from 1 species
UGGCGGACGGGUGAGUAAUGUCUGGGAAACUGCCCGAUGAGGGGGGAUAACUACUGAAACGGUAGCUAAUACCGCAUAACGUCGCAAGACCAAAGAGGGGGACCUUCGGGCCUCUUGCCAUCGGAUGUGCCCAGAUGGGAUUAGCUAGUAGGUGGGGUAAAGGCUCACCUAGGCGACGAUCCCUAGCUGGUCUGAGAGGAUGACCAGCCACACUGGAACUGAGACACGGUCCAG